rnacentral:misc_RNA from 1 species
GUGAAUCAUCAAAUCUUUGAACGCAAAUUGCACUCGCUUCGGAGAUUAUGCCUGUUUGAGGGUCAGCAUUAAUAAAAAUCGGUGUGUUGCCUCUUUGUUACGCUCCGGAGUUUGGGUCAUCUUAAUAUCCUUUAGGUUUUAAGAGGCUUAAAAUUGACUUUAUUUACCAUUUUUAUAUGUACAUAUAUUCUUUUUUUUAUUCGUCUGACUUAAUGCUCACAAUCCUAUUAGAUGCGACCAUAUCGUGUGGUCUCGUGUCUAUAAAUUUUUCAUGAUUUGACCUCAAAUCAGGUAGUAGUA